UAAGGAAUAUUGGUCAAUGGAGGCAACUCUGAACCAGCCAUGCCGCGUGCAGGAAGAAGGCCCUAUGGGUCGUAAACUGCUUUUGAACAAGAGAAAACCCCGGUACGUGUACUGGGUUGAUAGUAUUGUUAGAAUAAGCAUCGGCUAACUUCGUGCCAGCAGCCGCGGUAAGACGAAGGAUGCAAGCGUUAUCCGGAUUCAUUGGGUUUAAAGGGUGCGUAGGCGGACUGAUAAGUCAGUGGUGAAAUCUCUCGGCUUAACCGAGAAACUGCCAUUGAUACUGUUAGUCUAGAGUACAGAUGAUGUGGGCGGAAUAUGACAUGUAGUGGUGAAAUACUUAGAUAUGUCAUAGAACACCGAUUGCGAAGGCAGCUCACAAAACUGUAACUGACGCUGAGGCACGAAAGUGCGGGGAUCAAACGGGAUUAGAUACCCGAGUAGUCCCUGAGCGGGCUGGCAAGGCGCAU
rnacentral:rRNA from 1 species